GAGCCCUUGGCACAGUGGUAGCGCGUGAGAUUCCAGCUGGUUUGCCAGGGAGUUCCUCAAGGUCGUCCGUUCGAUCCGGGCAGGGCUCA